rnacentral:rRNA from 1 species
CACUUCGGGAUAAGCCUUGGAAACGGGGUCUAAUACCGGAUAUGAGCCCGCAUCGCAUGGUGUGGGUUGGAAAGUUUUUCGGUGGGGGAUGGGCUCGCGGCCUAUCAGCUUGUUGGUGGGGUGAUGGCCUACCAAGGCGUCGACGGGUAGCCGGCCUGAGAGGGCGACCGGCCACACUGGGACUGAGACACGGCCCAGACUCCUACGGGAGGCAGCAGUGGGGAAUAUUGCACAAUGGGCGAAAGCCUGAUGCAGCGACGCCGCGUGAGGGAUGACGGCCUUCGGGUUGUAAACCUCUUUCAGCAGGGAAGAAGCGCAAGUGACGGUACCUGCAGAAGAAGCGCCGGCUAACUACGUGCCAGCAGCCGCGGUAAUACGUAGGGCGCAAGCGUUGUCCGGAAUUAUUGGGCGUAAAGAGCUCGUAGGCGGUCUGUCGCGUCUGGUGUGAAAUCCCGAGGCUCAACCUCGGGCUUGCAUCGGGUACGGGCAGACUAGAGUGCGGUAGGGGAGACUGGAAUUCCUGGUGUAGCGGUGGAAUGCGCAGAUAUCAGGAGGAACACCGAUGGCGAAGGCAGGUCUCUGGGCCGCAACUGACGCUGAGGAGCGAAAGCAUGGGGAGCGAACAGGAUUAGAUACCCUGGUAGUCCAUGCCGUAAACGUUGGGCACUAGGUGUGGGGCUCAUUCCACGAGUUCCGUGCCGCAGCUAACGCAUUAAGUGCCCCGCCUGGGGAGUACGGCCGCAAGGCUAAAACUCAAAGGAAUUGACGGGGGCCCGCACAAGCGGCGGAGCAUGCGGAUUAAUUCGAUGCAACGCGAAGAACCUUACCAAGGCUUGACAUGCACCGGAAACACUCAGAGAUGGGUGCCCCGCAAGGUCGGUGCACAGGUGGUGCAUGGUUGUCGUCAGCUCGUGUCGUGAGAUGUUGGGUUAAGUCCCGCAACGAGCGCAACCCUCGUCCUAUGUUGCCAGCGGGUUAUGCCGGGGACUCAUGGGAGACUGCCGGGGUCAACUCGGAGGAAGGUGGGGAUGACGUCAAAUCAUCAUGCCCCUUAUGUCUUGGGCUUCACGCAUGCUACAAUGGCCGGUACAGAGGGCUGCGAUACCGUAAGGUGGAGCGAAUCCCAAAAAGCCGGUCUCAGUUCGGAUUGGGGUCUGCAACUCGACCCCAUGAAGUCGGAGUCGCUAGUAAUCGCAGAUCAGC